rnacentral:lncRNA from 1 species
GCGUAAACAAGUCAACAAAUUUAGAGUGGAAAAGAAAAAUUAGGAAGCGGGGCUGCGAACGUUGACACAACCAAUAACUCUCACUAUAAAACCCCUCAAACCUUAGCAUCCUAAUUAACUGUAACUAUAAAUAAAUAAAUAAAAACAAGUGUUUCCCUUCUUCUCCAGCAGCCAAGUAAGCGAUGGCCAGAAACAGUGAGAAAAAUAGGGAAUCAAGCAGGUUGCAUUGGACGAAUGAGAAGCACCUACAUUUCUUGAAUUCAAUGGAGGCUUCCUUUGUUCAAUCCAUGCUCCAAAAUAACGCCCGAUUUGCUCCUCUCGACCGUUAUUUACCCGACACCUCCGAUUCCACCCACGAUUUGGACAAGUAUAAACCAACUACCUCUACUUUUCUUUCAGGUAUAAUUAUACAUAUACAUGUAUAUCAUGAUCAUUUAUCAUGUACGUGUAUUUUUUUUGGAAAUACAAAAUACUGAAAUCUGCUAGCAACAAUAAUUUUGUGGUUGAAGUAAUAAUUUGGAUUUGGACAAGUCUUGGGAAAAUCUCGAUUGAUGCGAUUUCUUGGUGGUGCAAACUCUUUGUGAUAAGAAGAACACGACUGGUGAUCUAAUCUCAAAGUAGGCCAGUGAUGUCUAUUUUUUUAAUAAAAUUAAUGUGAUAGAAGAAAGAGCACUUUAUAAAAUAAAAUAAAAAUCUUGGCAAGGAUCUCGAUUAAUUUAGUUUUCUUGGUUUGACCUAAACGAGAUGCACUUGUUAGUCCAUCAAAUUAGAGAAAUCUUUUCAAGGGGUUAGCAUGACUUUGUUGAUGAUGUAACUUUAUUAAUUUGUUGACUUAAAGAGCUCCUAAAAAAAAACUUAAAAUAUAAGUGUGCACUUAUUAAUUUAAUUUCUAGGGGAAGGAUAUUUAAUGUAAGUGUGCACUUAUUAAUU